AGUGCAUGGGAUCGCAAAGAGUCGGACACAACUGAGUGACAAACACUUUCACUUUCCCGGCCCUUAACCUCAACCUGAGCAUGAUGGCCUGUGAGUCCCACUGAUGCCAUACAUCUAAGAAUCUGGAGAACCACAUCCCACACAAUGUAGCAUUGGCUGAACAUCAAUGCCCAGUGGCAUAUCCACACAAUGGAGCACCAUUGGGUCUUCUAAAAGGAAAGCAGCUCUGAAUCAACACAAAUGAACCCUGAGACUAUUAUGCUAAGGGGAAGAGGCCAGGCACAAAAGGUCACGCAUGGUAUGAUUCCAUUUAUGUGAAGGAUCUAGAACAAGCAAAUUCAUAGAGAUUAAAAGUAGAAUCGUGGUUACCAGGAGCUGAUAGGAAGGGGGAAUGGAGAGUUAUUGUUUAAUGAGUACCGAGUUUCUGUUUGGGAUGAUAAAAAUGUUCUGGAAGUGGAUAAUGGUGAUGGUUAUGCAACUUUGUAAAUAUGCUUAUUGCCACUGAAUUGUACAUUUAAAAAAUGGUUAAAAUUAUAAAUUUUUUGUUAAGCCUAUUUUCACACACACACGCGCGUGCACACACACACACACUCACAAAUAUCCAGCUUGGAAAAUGCAUGUGGUUUGCUUUAAAAGAUGACACUAAUAAAUAAAGAUGAGAAGUGCAAAGGCCCCAUAGACACCUUGUCUCUUGAGGCAUGAAGUACCCAGUCAGAACAGGGGUUGGCAAACUUUCUCUGUAAAGAGCCAAAUAGUAAAUACUUUAGUCUUUACAGAUCUAACAAUCUCUGUUGCAACUAUUCAGCUCCGCCCUUGAAUUGUGAAAGUAGCUACAAACAAUAUGUAAUCAGAUGAGCCUGACUGAUUUCCAGCAAACCCUUAUUGAUGGGACUGAUUUUAAAUGUCAUAUGAUUCUCACAUAGCAUAAAAUAGUGUUCUUCUUUUGACCUUUUAUCCAACCACUGAAAAAUGUAAAAACCAUUCUUAGGUUUUCGGUCUUACUAGACAGAGGGCCAGACUUGGCCCCGAAGCUGGAAGUUUGCUGACCCCUGAGCUAGAACCUCCGAUCAAUAAUGAGUAAACCCCAUACUGACAUAGUAUGUGCAAUCUCUCCAAACAUUAGGGAAGGUAUUCCAUGGUGGGUAGGAAAUGCCAGCCUUGGAAAAUGUGUUAGUGUAUGGCUCAGCCAGAAUGAGGUAUUCCAUGAAUGAGUUAAACCUAGAGUUGGCCCUGAUUUCUACUUCCUGAAAUUUUGUCCCAUUACUCAGUCAGGUCUCAAAGGCUAGUCCAGUGCCCUGUUCAUCCAGGCAAUGAGAAAAUCCAUUUGAUUCACUACAGGAUAUAAAUAAUGCCUUUUAACAGCUCCUGCAGAAUUAUUUCCACUGAAAUACUAGAGAGUCAAGCAAAUUGGGCUGUGGAGUGCUUACAGAGUGGACUUCUAUAUGGUGACUCAAGUAGUCUGUCUUUCCAUCGUGUGCCUUUGCCAUCUGCAAGCACUUGGAAUCUACUAGAAAGAGGAGCUCAACCCCCUUUGCUCUGGAUAUGCAGCUCCGAGGAGAUGUCGCAAGGCUUUAUAAUCAUGAUUUCAAAGAGUACCAUCUUGAUCCUCCUGGCUUUUUGGAUUCACUGCUAUGUUUCAGUCUAUUCCUUGAAACCUUACCUACAAAAUGUUUAAACCCCAAAGCCUAUCUACCAGGUGGAUAAUUCUCCUACCCUGACAUUAGCCAUGCCCCACAGAAGAGGGAAAACCACCAGAAUCAGUGGCUUUGAAGAUGAAAGACCUGGAUUCUAAAAUUGGCUUGUGAUGGACAAACUUGGGCAAGAAACUCUCAUGAAUCUCAGUUUAUCCACCUGUAAAAUAGAAUUGAAAAUAGUGGCUACUUACCCACCUCCUCAACCCCCCACCCUCACCAGGUGAUUUGAAGGAUCAUUUCAGAUAAUUCAUGUAAAACAUGAAGCAGAGUCCUGGCACACAGUAUGCACUCAAUCAAUGUUGUUGACUAUUACAACAGGAUCACUAUAGACUUUUGCAGAAUUGAGUCACAAAGACUGACAGGAGAGAAGCCAGAGGUUACAAAAAUGACUGGAAAAGGCAUCUUGUGAAGCACUAAGAAACUUGGCCUUCAGAGAUUUUUCAGCUGAAAAGUUACAGGUUUGUCCUGAUGUCCUCAUGGAACAGCACAUCAUGUGUCUAAAGGUAGCACAUGAAAGUAUUUUACAAAGAGGAGCUACUGUUGUGACAUUGCUACUCGGAUAGAAGGUAUGCAAAAUGACAGGGCAAGCUGGGAGAAAAGGUUAGGGCAUGCAUUCACGAAAUAAAUAUCUGUGAACAGUGACACCAGACCAGGGCCCAUCAGGGAGAAGGAGAGUGGGAAUGAUCAAUGUGGGAGAAAACGUCUGGAACCCUUAGUGGGAAGGAAAACUGAUUUGAAUCCUCGGACCGUCACAAAUGCCUUGAAUAGCCUGAUGAAACAUACCAGAUAUUAGAGAUGGGCAGAGCGGUUUGCUGUUCAUCACACUUAAUUCCCUUUCUUCCUGGCACAUGGACAGACGACAGUGGCCAGCCUCUCUUGUAGUGGGGUGUGGUCAGGAGACAAAUACUCCACUAACUGGUGGCGUGCAGGCAGAAUUGCCACUGCUAGGAUUGGCCCAUGAAACGGCCUGAGUGGCCCUCUGCCCUCUCCUCAGGCCUGGUUGCGGACAUCCUUGGAUUCCUCCUGGCAAAGACGGUACGGCCUCCAUCAGCCUGGGCUCCUGAAUAACCACAUGGCAGCUUGCUCCUACUCUACGCCUGCGCCUACGUCAACUGGACUAUAUGUUAAUAGAAAAUAAAGUGCAUGACGCUAAACCACCAAAUGGAGAGAUUAUCAUAACUGAAUCAGCCUCCAAUUCAUAACUGAAUUUUUCCCUAGUCUUUUUGGCCCCUGAAAUUAAGUAUGAGAUCCAGCCUUUCCCCAAUAGGAACAUUUUACAUUUUGACUCUAUUUUUCCUUUAAAUGUAAACAAGGCAAAAUUGUUCUUGGUACUUAAUGAAUUCUGUUGAUGGACGUAACUUCAUCUUCAAGGAAAUUCUAAGUAAAUUAACAUGAAAGGAACUCUGUGGGGGCUUAUAAAUUUUAGGAUAUUAAAGAACUAACCGCAGUGAGAAAUGGGACAGUAUGAGGACUCUACAUUCAUCCAAACAUCUCUAACUCAACUAAAACUCUGCGCAGGAAGCAGACCACUGAAAAGCUAGAAAACAAAAUUAUAAAUCAAUAUUCU